rnacentral:rRNA from 1 species
CCCUACGGGACGCAGCAGUGGGGAAUAUUGGGCAAUGGGCGCAAGCCUGACCCAGCAACGCCGCGUGAAGGAAGAAGGCUUUCGGGUUGUAAACUUCUUUUCUCAGGGACGAACAGAUGACGGUACCUGAGGAAUAAGCCACGGCUAACUACGUGCCAGCAGCCGCGGUAAUACGUAGGUGGCAAGCGUUAUCCGGAUUUACUGGGUGUAAAGGGCGUGUAGGCGGGGACGCAAGUCAGAUGUGAAAACCACGGGCUCAACCUGUGGCCUGCAUUUGAAACUGUUGGUCUUGAGUAUCGGAGAGG